rnacentral:rRNA from 1 species
UACGGGGGGAGCAAGCGUUGUUCGGAUUUACUGGGCGUAAAGGGCGCGUAGGCGGCGCAACAAGUCACUUGUGAAAUCUCCGGGCUUAACCCGGAGCGGGCAAGUGAUACUGUCGUGCUAGAGUGCGGAAGGGGCUACUGGAAUUCUCGGUGUAGCGGUGAAAUGCGUAGAUAUCGAGAGGAACACCUGCGGCGAAGGCGGGUAGCUGGGCCGACACUGACGCUGAGGCGCGAAAGCCAGGGGAGCAAACGGG